rnacentral:tRNA from 1 species
AACCGGGGUGGGGUGUGGGGGCGGGCUCGGGCGCUGCGGGCCGGGGUUCCGGCUUCGGUUCCGGUUCCGGUUCCGGUUCCGGUUCCGGUUCC